GGGCCCGCACAAGCGGAGGAACAUGUGGUUUAAUUCGAUGAUACGCGAGGAACCUUACCCGGGCUUGAAAUGUACUUGAUCGGCCAAGAGAUUGGCUUUCCAGCAAUGGCAAGUAUGUUAGGUGCUGCAUGGUUGUCGUCAGCUCGUGCCGUGAGGUGUCGGCUUAAGUGCCAUAACGAGCGCAACCCUUAUCAUUAGUUGCUAACAGGUCAUGCUGAGGACUCUAGUGAGACUGCCACCGUAAGGUGUGAGGAAGGUGGGGAUGACGUCAAAUCAGCACGGCCCUUACGUCCGGGGCGACACACGUGUUACAAUGGGGGGUACAACGGGCAGCUACCUAGCGAUAGGAUGCUAAUCUCUAAAAACCUCUCUCAGUUCGGAUUGGAGUCUGCAACUCGACUCCAUGAAGCUGGAUUCGCUAGUAAUCGCGCAUCAGCCAUGGCG
rnacentral:rRNA from 1 species